rnacentral:rRNA from 1 species
GAUUGGUGCCUUCGGGAACUCAACCAGGUGCUGCAUGGCUGUCGUCAGCUCGUGUCGUGAGAUGUUGGGUUAAGUCCCGUAACGAGCGCAACCCUUGUCCUUAGUUACCAGCACCUCGGGUGGGCACUCUAAGGAAACUGCCGGUGACAAACCGGAAGAAGGUGGGGAUGACGUCCAGUCAUCAUGGCCCUUACGGCCAGGGCUACACACGUGCUACAAUGGUCGGUACAAAAGGUUGCCAAGCCGCGAGGUGGAACUAAUCCCAUAAAACCGAUCGUAAUCCGGA